CCUACGGGAGGCAGCAGUGAGGAAUAUUGGUCAAUGGCCGUAAGGCUGAACCAGCCAAGUCGCGUGAAGGAAGAAGGAUCUAUGGUUUUUAAACUUCUUUUAUAGGGGAAUAAAGGUAUCCACGUGUGGAUAUUUUCAUGUACCCUAUGAAUAAGCAUCGGCUAACUCCUUGCCAGCAGCCGGGGUAAUACGGAGGAUGCGAGCGUUAUCCGGUUUUAUUGGGUUUAAAGGAUGCGUAGGUUGUUUUUUAAGUCAGCGGGAAAAUUGCGGGGCUCAACCCCGUAGAGCCGUUGAAACUGGCAGUCUUGAGUUGGCGAGAAGUACGCGGAAUGCGCGGUGUAGCGGUGAAAUGCAUAGAUAUCGCGCAGAACUCCGAUUGCGAAGGCAGCGUACCGGCGCCAGACUGACGCUGAGGCACGAAAGCGUGGGGAUCGAACAGGAUUAGAUACCCGAGUAGUC
rnacentral:rRNA from 1 species